ensembl:rRNA 5S_rRNA 5S ribosomal RNA
UCCAAAGUACAUCACCACCCUGAUCACACUCCAUCUAGUCUGAUCUUGGAAAUUAAGCAGAGUCAGGCCUUAUUAGUACUUGGAUUUGACAAAACCCCAGGAGGCCCAUUUUUAGAA